AACGCACAUUGCGCCCAUUAGUAUUCUAGUGGGCAUGCCUGUUCGAGCGUCAUUUCAACCCUUAAGCCUCUGUUGCUUAGUGUUGGGAGCCUACGGUAUAGUAGCUCCCUAAAGUUAGUGGCGGAGUCGGUUCACACUCUAGACGUAGUAGAUUUUAUCUCGCCUAUCAGUUGGACCGGUCCCCUGCCGUAAAACCCCCCCAAAUUUAAAGGUUGACCUCGGAUCAGGUAGGAAUACCCGCUGAACUUAA
rnacentral:misc_RNA from 1 species